rnacentral:rRNA from 1 species
GGGACAACAGUUGGAAACGACUGCUAAUACCGCAUAAGCCCACAGCUCGGCAUCGAGCAGAGGGAAAAGGAGCAAUCCGCUUUGAGAUGGCCUCGCGUCCGAUUAGCUAGUUGGUGAGGUAAUGGCCCACCAAGGCGACGAUCGGUAGCCGGACUGAGAGGUUGAACGGCCACAUUGGGACUGAGACACGGCCCAGACUCCUACGGGAGGCAGCAGUGGGGAAUAUUGCACAAUGGGGGAAACCCUGAUGCAGCGACGCCGCGUGGAGGAAGAAGGUCUUCGGAUUGUAAACUCCUGUUGUUGAGGAAGAUAAUGACGGUACUCAACAAGGAAGUGACGGCUAACUACGUGCCAGCAGCCGCGGUAAAACGUAGGUCACAAGCGUUGUCCGGAAUUACUGGGUGUAAAGGGAGCGCAGGCGGGAAGACAAGUUGGAAGUGAAAUCUAUGGGCUCAACCCAUAAACUGCUUUCAAAACUGUUUUUCUUGAGUAGUGCAGAGGUAGGCGGAAUUCCCGGUGUAGCGGUGGAAUGCGUAGAUAUCGGGAGGAACACCAGUGGCGAAGGCGGCCUACUGGGCACCAACUGACGCUGAGGCUCGAAAGUGUGGGUAGCAAACAGGAUUAGAUACCCUGGUAGUCCACACCGUAA